rnacentral:rRNA from 1 species
CUACGGGUUGCACCAGCCAGGAAUAUUGCGCAAUGGACGAAAGUCUGACGCAGCGACACCGCGUGCGGGAUGAAGCUCCUCGGAGUGUAAACCGCUGUGGCGAGGGAGGAAAUUUUGACAGUACCUCGCUAGAAAGCACCAGCUAACUACGUGCCAGAAGCUUCGGUAAUACGUAGGGUGCAAGCGUUAUCCGGAUUUACUGGGCGUAAAGGGUCCGUAGGCGUUCUGAUAAGUCUCUUGUUUAAGCCCGAGGCUCAACUUCGGACAGGCAAGAGAAACUAUUAGAAUUGAGUUAGUUCGGGGUAGUUGGAAUUCUCGGUGGAGGGGUGAAAUCCGUAGAGAUCGAGAGGAACGUCAAACGCGAAGGCAGACUACUAGGACUUAACUGACGCUAAGGGACGAAAGCUUGGGUAGCAAAAGGGAUUAGAUACCCCGGUAGUC